rnacentral:hammerhead_ribozyme from 1 species
AUCUUGUUGACGAGUUCCAAAUGGGACGAAACGCGCGUCGUGAAU